rnacentral:rRNA from 1 species
GCAAAACGCGAAGAACCUUACCUACUCUUGACAUCCAGAGAACUUAGCAGAGAUGCUUUGGUGCCUUCGGGAACUCUGAGACAGGUGCUGCAUGGCUGUCGUCAGCUCGUGUUGUGAAAUGUUGGGUUAAGUCCCGCAACGAGCGCAACCCUUAUCCUUUGUUGCCAGCGGUUCGGCCGGGAACUCAAAGGAGACUGCCAGUGAUAAACUGGAGGAAGGUGGGGAUGACGUCAAGUCAUCAUGGCCCUUACGAGUAAGGCUACACACGUGCUACAAUGGCGUAUACAAAGAGAAGCGACCUCGCGAGAGCAAGCGGACCUCAUAAAGUACGUCGUAGUCCGGAUUGGAGUCUGCAACUCGACUCCAUGAAGUCGGAAUCGCUAGUAAUCGUAGAUCAGAAUGCUACGGUGAAUACGCUCCCGGGUCUUGUACACACCG